rnacentral:rRNA from 1 species
GAUGAACGCUAGCUACAGGCUUAACACAUGCAAGUCGAGGGGAAACGGCAUCGAAAGCUUGCUUUUGAUGGGCGUCGACCGGCGCACGGGUGAGUAACGCGUAUCCAACCUGCCCAUCACUUGGGAAUAACCUUGCGAAAGUAAGACUAAUGCCCAAUGACAUCCCACGAAGGCAUCCGAAUGGGAUUAAAGAUUUAUCGGUGAUGGAUGGGGAUGCGUCUGAUUAGCUUGUUGUCGGGGUGACGGCCCACCAAGGCAACGAUCAGUAGGGGUUCGGAGAGGAAGGUCCCCCACAUUGGAACUGGGACACGGUCCAAACUCCUACGGGAGGCAGCAGUGAGGAAUAUUGGUCAAUGGGCGAGAGCCUGAACCAGCCAAGUAGCGUGCAGGAUGACGGCCCUAUGGGUUGUAAACUGCUUUUAUAAGGGAAUAAAGUGGGUCACGUGUGACUUUUUGCAUGUACCUUAUGAAUAAGGACCGGCUAAUUCCGUG